rnacentral:rRNA from 1 species
GACUUUGAUUAUGGCUCAGGACGGAACGCUGGCGGCGCGGCCUAACACAUGCAAGUCGAACGAGCGAGAGAGAGCUUGCUUUCUCGAGCGAGUGGCGAACGGGUGAGUAACGCGUGAGGAACCUGCCUCAAAGAGGGGGACAACAGUUGGAAACGACUGCUAAUACCGCAUAAGCCCACGGCUCGGCAUCGAGCAGGGGGAAAAGGAGCAAUCCGCUUUGAGAUGGCCUCGCGUCCGAUUAGCUAGUUGGUGAGGUAACGGCCCACCAAGGGCGACGAUCGGUAGCCGGACUGAGAGGUUGAACGGCCACAUUGGGACAGAGACACGGCCCAGACUCCUACGGGAGGCAGCAGUGGGGAAUAUUGCACAAUGGGGGAAACCCUGAUGCAGCGACGCCGCGUGGAGGAAGAAGGUCUUCGGAUUGUAAACUCCUGUUGUUGGGGAAGAUAAUGACGGUACCCAACAAGGAAGUGACGGCUAACUACGUGCCAGCAGCCGCGGUAAAACGUAGGUCACAAGCGUUGUCCGGAAUUACUGGGUGUAAAGGGAGCGCAGGCGGGAAGACAAGUUGGAAGUGAAAUCUAUGGGCUCAACUCAUAAACUGCUUUCAAAACUGUUUUUCUUGAGUAGUGCAGAGGUAGGCGGAAUUCCCGGUGUAGCGGUGGAAUGCGUAGAUAUCGGGAGGAACACCAGUGGCGAAGGCGGCCUACUGGGCACCAACUGACGCUGAGGCUCGAAAGUGUGGGUAGCAAACAGGAUUAGAUACCCUGGUAGUCCACACCGUAAACGAUGAUUACUAGGUGUUGGGAGGGUUGACCCCUUCAGUGCCGCAGUUAACACAAUAAGUAAU